GCGGGGGUGGCGGAGCGGCCAAACGCGGCAGACUCAAGAUCUGUUGGCUCAGCGCCUUCAAGGGUUCGAAUCCCUUCCCCCGCA
rnacentral:tRNA from 1 species